UCCGUCAUGGUGUAGUGGCUAGCAUUUCAGACUCUCAUUGGUCGACCUUUCGGUUGCCAUGUGAUCUCUGAGAACCCGGGUUCAAUUCCCGGUGACGGAA